GGGGAUUUAGCUCAGUGGUAGAGCAUUUGCCUAGCAAGUGGAAGGCCCUGGGUUCGGUCCCCAGCUCCA
rnacentral:tRNA from 1 species